CGCGUGUGUGAAGAAGGCCUUCGGGUUGUAAAGCACUUUCAGCGGGGAGGAAGGCGUUAAGGUUAAUAACCUUGGCGAUUGACGUUACCCGCAGAAGAAGCACCGGCUAACUCCGUGCCAGCAGCCGCGGUAAUACGGAGGGUGCAAGCGUUAAUCGGAAUUACUGGGCGUAAAGCGCACGCAGGCGGUCUGUCAAGUCGGAUGUGAAAUCCCCGGGCUCAACCUGGGAACUGCAUUCGAAACUGGCAGGCUAGAGUCUUGUAGAGGGGGGUAGAAUUCCAGGUGUAGCG
rnacentral:rRNA from 1 species